rnacentral:lncRNA from 1 species
GAAUAGUUCAUUUAAGAAGAGUCAAAUCAUCAGGUAGAACAGAUGAGAAAGUCCAUAAAAUAACUUUCAAGUAUUUACACAUUUGAAUUCCUUCAAACACGACACCAAAGAGAUAUGUAGAAAGAAUGUCUUUUCAAUAAAUAGUAUUAGAUCAACUGAAUAUGUAUAUGGCGUGGGGGAAGGACUUUGAUGCUUACAUCACAGUAGAUAGAAAAAUCAAUUCCAUAUGGUUUGCAGAUAUAAAUGAGCAAGAAACAGUAAUCUUUGAAGAUUAUAGUAAAAUCUCUUGAGGUCUGUGAGAGUAGAAAAUCAUUUUAACCUUGAUAAGCAGCACAACAUUAAAAUUUUGUUUAUUGAUAGAUACUAUUAAAGACUGACAGAGUAGCAUUGGAUAUGUGGUACAAAUGUAGCUAGUAAAAUUCAAAUUGUCAUUAUGAGAUUCCUCUACACUUAAUAAGAUGGUGUGAAAUCAUCAAGUCACAUAAUACUGUAAUAGCAUGUGGAGUGAACCACAGAACCAAAAAGGAUUGAUAUAAGGACUUAAAGAACUCCUCAGAAUUUCCUACUAAAGUUGAAUGACACAUUCCUGAAGACCAGCAAUUUCACAUCUAGGUUUCUGUUCAAAAGAAUCAUGUGCACUUGUGCACUCAAAGACCUAACCAAACACAUUUUUUGACUGCCUUAUCUUGCAUUUGUCAAUGAAAACAACUCAAAUAUCCCUUAAACAUAGAAUCAGCAAAAUCUUAUAUAUUCAUCUACCAGAAUACAGCAAUAAACAUUAAUGAACUCCCAUGGAAACAACUUUAAAACGUAAAGUAUUUAUGGACAGUCUUUCUGCUUACCUCUGAAAUCCAACCCCAGUUCAGAGUUGAAUUGAGAAUCACCCAGCUGACAAUCAAGCAUGGCUUUGCUAAAAAGUGGAGUGCACAGGAGGAGACUUUUGUUUCUACUAAGGAGGUAGAAAGUGGAAAAGAGUGUUGCUUUCAUCCUAACACCAAGAAAAGGUCAGAUGAACUACAUCAUGGUAAUGUUCUCAAGCUUGUCAUAGAGCUUGGAUUUUAGGAUAGUCAAGUGACCUGAAGUCCGUGGAAUGACAGAUCCCUCAAGCAGAGCCAUCAGGAGAGCAGAGAAACUGUUGUUUUCUGAUUUAGAUCUAGAUGGUGCAUAGAGACCACUGGGGAGUUCUCUCAGGCAAAAAGUCAUAUAAAUGCUAAUUUUCCCCAGGUGAGCUUCCUUAUUUCAAAUGUUGAGAUUGCUCUAAAUUUUCCUAUUUUUCAUCUCUCUUCAAAAGAUGUUUUUUUUAAAAAAAAUUUGAGAAGUUAUAAUUGUAAUUGUUAUAAGCCAAAGGAUUAGUCUCAUACAAG